GACGAACGCUGGCGGCGUGCUUAACACAUGCAAGUCGAACGGAAAGGCCCUGCUCUUGUGGGGUGCUCGAGUGGCGAACGGGUGAGUAACACGUGAGUAACCUGCCCUUGACUGUGGGAUAACUUCAGGAAACUGGGGCUAAUACCGGAUAGGAGCUCCUGCUGCAUGGUGGGGGCUGGAAAGUUUCGGCGGUGGGGGAUGGACUCGCGGCUUACCAGCUUGUUGGUGGGGUAGUGGCCUACCAAGGCUUUGACGGGUAGCCGGCCGGGGAGGGUGACCGGCCACCUUGGGCCUGAGAUACGGCCCAGACUCCUACGGGAGGCAGCAGUGGGGAAUAUUGCACAAUGGGCGGAAGCCUGAUGCAGCAACGCCGCGUGCGGGAUGACGGCCUUCGGGUUGUAAACCGCUUUCGCCUGUGACGAAGCGUGAGUGACGGUAAUGGGUAAAGAAGCACCGGCUAACUACGUG
rnacentral:rRNA from 1 species